rnacentral:rRNA from 1 species
AGAACGAACGCUGGCGGCAUGCCUAAUACAUGCAAGUCGAACGAACACUUCGGUGUUAGUGGCGCACGGGUGCGUAACGCGUGGGAAUCUGCCCUUGGGUUCGGAAUAACAGUUGGAAACGACUGCUAAUACCGGAUGAUGACGAAAGUCCAAAGAUUUAUCGCCCAGGGAUGAGCCCGCGUUAGGAUUAGCUAGUUGGUGAGGUAAAGGCUCACCAAGGCGACGAUCCUUAGCUGGUCUGAGAGGAUGAUCAGCCACACUGGGACUGGAGACACGGCCCAGACUACCACGGGAGCAGCAGUAGGGAUAUGGACAAUGGGCGCAAGCCUGAUCCGAGCAAUGCCAGUCGGAGUGAUGGAAGUCCUUAGGGUAGUAAG